rnacentral:tRNA from 1 species
GCCUGGGUGGCUCAGUCGGUUGAGCGUCGGACUUCAGCUCAGGUCAUGAUCUCACGGUUUGUGAGUUCAAGCCCCGCGUCAGGCU